rnacentral:rRNA from 1 species
UCAUAAGCGGAGGAAAAGAAACCAACAGGGAUUGCCCUAGUAACGGCGAGUGAAGCGGCAACAGCUCAAAUUUGAAAUCUGGCCCUCUUUGGGGGUCCGAGUUGUAAUUUGCAGAGGGUGCUUUGGCAUUGGCGGCGGUCUAAGUUCCUUGGAACAGGACAUCGCAGAGGGUGAGAAUCCCGUACGUGGGCGCCUGCCUUUGCCGUGUAAAGCCCCUUCGACGAGUCGAGUUGUUUGGGAAUGCAGCUCUAAAUGGGAGGUAAAUUUCUUCUAAAGCUAAAUACCGGCCAGAGACCGAUAGCGCACAAGUAGAGUGAUCGAAAGAUGAAAAGUACUUUGGAAAGAGAGUCAAAUAGCACGUGAAAUUGUUGAAAGGGAAGCGCUUGCAGCCAGACGUGCCCGCAGUUGCUCACCCAGGCUCCGGCCUGGGGCACUCUUCUGCGGGCAGGCCAGCAUCAGUUUGGGCGGUUGGAUAAAGGCCUCUGUCACGUAUCUCCCUUCGGGGUGACCUUAUAGGGGAGGCGCAAUGCAACCAGCCCGGACUGAGGUCCGCGCAUCUGCUAGGAUGCUGGCGUAAUGGCUGUAAGCGGCCCGUCUUGAAACACGGACCAAGGAGUCUAACAUCUAUGCGAGUGUUUGGGUGUCAAGCCCGGGCGCGUAAUGAAAGUGAACGGAGGUGGGAACCCUUUGGGUGCACCAUCGACCGAUCCUGAUGUCUUCGGAUGGAUUUGAGUAAGAGCAUAGCUGUUGGGACCCGAAAGAUGGUGAACUAUGCUUGAAUAGGGUGAAGCCAGAGGAAACUCUGGUGGAGGCUCGCAGCGGUUCUGACGUGCAAAUCGAUCGUCAAAUUUGGGCAUAGGGGCGAAAGACUAAUCGAACCAUCUAGUAGCUGGUCUG